GAUGAGCAUGCGUCCCAUUAGCUAGUUGGUGUGGUAACGGCACACCUAGGCAACGAUGGGUAGGGGUCCUGAGAGGGAGAUCCCCCACACUGGUACUGAGACACGGACCAGACUCCUACGGGAGGCAGCAGUGAGGAAUAUUGGUCAAUGGGCGCAAGCCUGAACCAGCCAUGCCGCGUGCAGGAUGAAGCAUCUAUGGUGUGUAACUGCUUUUGUACGAGAAGAAACACUCCUUCGUGAAGGAGCUUGACGGUAUCGUAAGAAUAAGGACCGGCUAACUCCGUGCCAGCAGCCGCG
rnacentral:rRNA from 1 species